CCAUGAAAGCUGUUCUCAUUGUCUUGAUCUGUAUCGCAAUACAGUGUGUGUGUGUUGAUGUAACAAGCCCUGCACCGCCCCGAAAUGACGAGCUUCCACAGCCCUAACAGACUUCAAGUGAUUACAUGUUUAUGGAACCUUGGUGGACACAGUUCUCGAAAAGGCUCUAACGAUUUUCUUACAAAUUUGACAGUUGGUGUAUAUCGUUGGGAAAGUUGG